AUGGGUGUCUAUUAAACACACUGCGGAUAUGCAGAACACAAAUAACGAGUUUCUCCUGUACUUUUGUUUUAAGAUCAAUUUUCAUAUUUUACUGUUGCCUUAAGACUAAUUCCCAGAGGCCAAUUUCUCAGACACUUAGGUCACAUGGGUCCAAACUGGAAGGGAGCUAAGCAGCAAAGAAACCUCUUUAGGCAGCAGUAAAGUCAGAUGCUGCAACCAGGUCUCCUUCAUCUGUCAAGUAAUAACCUGUCAGGCAGAAUAAUAGUCCUGACUAAUGGUCCAGGAGAUCAGAAGAAACUACUGAAUGGGACAUUAAAGACCUUGAAGUUCAUCGAAAAUGCCAGUAGGAAUGAAGGAACUCUGGGACGAAGGAACUCUGAGCUAAUGACUGACAUCCUGAGUACUGCGGUGUGCAUGCUUGGAAGAUGAGCAUGGCUGCAGUGAUAGCCUCCACUCUGGUCCCCACACUUAUCUCUCCAGAGAAAGAGAGCAAAUACUUUCAGAGCUCCCCUGUGCUCUUGAGAAAAAACCCCCACACAUUACAAAGAUAUCAUAGGUUUCCAGUGAUGUCUUCUCCCAAGAAAGCCAGAAUCUGAUUAGUGCUGUACCCCUAGACAUUUUCACUUCUUGGACAAUUGGGGUGUAGGUGCAAAACAAAAUUAUAUAAUGACUAUGAAACAUCUUUCUUAUUAAUUCUGCAGUCCUGAACACAUUUACUAGGUAGGAAGUAUCAUUGAAUUCACUGAAGCAUACUCCCAAGGAAGCAUGCGUAGGACUGGGCUGUAAAUAACAUAAGAGUGGAGGCUGUAUUUCUAUACACACUUAGGUUGAAGAGCAGCUUUUUUCUGAGUAAACAUACUCAAAGUUAUGGCUGCAAUCUGGCUGUAAUAAGACAAAACAAGUCCUUGAAAGUCUUGCUUUGUCAGAGGUUUAAACAUUGAUGGCUCCAAAGAGGCCAUUGGAUUCUGAGGUCAUUUGGCACUCAUGGAUAUCACCACGGGUAAGAUUCACAAGUCUUCACUUCAGACAUUACAUCAGAAGUCAGUAAUUGGAAUCAGAAGUCAAUUGGUGUUCUCUGUUCCUUGCUUCUGAUGAAUAUCCAUAUUGGCUCAAAGCAUUUCACUGAAGGAAAAACAGUGCGGUUUGGUUUCAAAAAUCUGGAAAUAUCCUUUUUAUUUUUUAUUUUAGGUUGAUAAGGUUUGUUCAAGUUUAACAAAAAUGACUCAAAUGUCAAAAGUCCUUAGGGUUUCAAAAGAAGUCCGUAAGAUGCUUGCUGCACUCAAGAAAGUAAUGAAGCUCACACUGACACAUGAAAGCAGCCUAAAGAAAUAAGAGAGAACCUCAGAAGGAAAAAGAAUACCAUACCUAUCAAGUUUUUCUGAAAGUGUGACUGGAAAUCUCUUCCAUAAUGGAUGUCCAGUGUUUGUACAAAACUACUGGCUUUUGAAUGGAGCUUUGAGGUUUAACAGACAGUGUAUUGGUUUCUAAUAAACUACUGAUAUUCCAU